rnacentral:rRNA from 1 species
CUACGUGCCAGCAGCCGCGGUAAUACGUAUGUCACAAGCGUUAUCCGGAUUUAUUGGGCGUAAAGCGCGUCUAGGUGGUUAUGUAAGUCUGAUGUGAAAAUGCAGGGCUCAACUCUGUAUUGCGUUGGAAACUGUGUAACUAGAGUACUGGAGAGGUAAGCGGAACUACAAGUGUAGAGGUGAAAUUCGUAGAUAUUUGUAGGAAUGCCGAUGGGGAAGCCAGCUUACUGGACAGAUACUGACGCUGAAGCGCGAAAGCGUGGGUAGCAAACAGGAUUAGAUACCCUGGUAGUCCACGCCAUAAACGAUGAUUACUAGGUGUUGGGGGUCGAACCUCAGCGCCCAAGCAAACGCGAUAAGUAAUCCGCCUGGGGAGUACGUACGCAAGUAUGAAACUCAAAGGAAUUGACGGGGACCCGCACAAGCGGUGGAGCAUGUGGUUUAAUUCGACGCAACGCGAGGAACCUUACCAGCGUUUGACAUC